rnacentral:rRNA from 1 species
GACGAACGCUGGCGGCGUGCCUAAUACAUGCAAGUCGAGCGCAGGAAGCUGACGGAACUCUUCGGAGGGAAGGCAGUGGAACGAGCGGCGGACGGGUGAGUAACACGUAAGGAACCUGCCUCAAGGAUUGGGAUAACUCCGAGAAAUCGGAGCUAAUACCGGAUAGUUCAACGGACCGCAUGGUCCGCUGAUGAAAGGCGCUCCGGCGUCACCUUGAGAUGGCCUUGCGGUGCAUUAGCUAGUUGGUGGGGUAACGGCCCACCAAGGCGACGAUGCAUAGCCGACCUGAGAGGGUGACCGGCCACACUGGGACUGAGACACGGCCCAGACUCCUACGGGAGGCAGCAGUAGGGAAUCUUCCACAAUGGACGAAAGUCUGAUGGAGCAACGCCGCGUGAGUGAUGAAGGUUUUCGGAUCGUAAAACUCUGUUGUAAGGGAAGAACACGUACGAGAGGGAAUGCUCGUACCUUGACGGUACCUUACGAGAAAGCCACGGCUAACUACGUGCCAGCCGCCGCGGUAAAAC